UUAAUUUUUUAAAAUGUGAAAUUGUGCAAAAUUUUUGAAAAAAAAUUUAAGUGAAGCCUGCCUUGCUUUUGUAUUAAUGGUGGAACCAAAAACUUCCUGAUGUUAAGUUCAAGAGCCUCUAAGAACUGAUAGAUAUUGUAUAAUCCGCGUACUCAUGGCGGUUGCGCUAUAAUCCUUCCUGCUUUGAUGAGUGGGCACAUGUUGAGGUGUCUCACUUUAGUUCAGUUUGCGUCUACACGGCUAUAUAUAAGAUUGAAUGCCUCGCGCCCCAAGCAUAAUAUCAAAAUAAUGUUUCUUUAUGCGGCCGAAGCAAGUUAUUAUUCUGUUGAUAAUAUAUCCUUCGCAUCCCUAGCAUAUUAUCCAGCUGGAGAGAGAUACUUUUGCCAUUAUAAGAAGGUACUCAGCUGAUGCUGCUUUUUUGGCUUUUUAAUUGGAGUUAAUUUUUUUGUUGAACAGUGCAAUAUUUUAACUUAUCGUCAAUAUGAGCGCAUAACCUCAAUAUUUUAAUUUUUGGAAUUAAGUUCUUUGCAUUAAAUUAAUCAAUACAAUUUUCCAUUGUGUCGACGAAUCGCCUUUACACUCGUUUAAUUGUUGACCGGUAUCAUUAUGAACUUUCUGAACCCUUUAAACGUACAAAUUAGGCGGAAAAAACAGAAACCAUCAAAGAAUUUCUGCUCAAAAUGGGUGCCGCAUGCAAACCGAUAGACAUCUGAGCGGACGAAAAUUGGUGAACCCGUCCAAACCUUCUGAAAGCACAAGAAUCAGUUGAAAAAGUUAUUGCCUCGGUGUUUUGAGACUGAUUGACCCAAAUAUUAUUGACUUAAUCAAAUUUACCGUAUUCGCUAGAUGUCCCAGUGACUAUAUGUUGAAGAGUUUACCGUUAAAACUGAGGACUGUUUCGAGGCUGCGGUAGCCAAGUGAUUAGCACUGCGUACUGCCAUUCGGUUUCAAUCCCGAUGUCGUACGAACAUCCAAAAAAGAAAUGUCGACCCAUCCGAGUGUAUUUCGG